rnacentral:rRNA from 1 species
UACGGAGGAUCCAAGCGUUAUCCGGAUUUAUUGGGUUUAAAGGGUGCGUAGGCGGCCUGUUAAGUCAGGGGUGAAAGACGGUAGCUCAACUAUCACAGUGCCCUUGAUACUGAUGGGCUUGAAUGGACUAGAGGUAGGCGGAAUGAGACAAGUAGCGGUGAAAUGCAUAGAUAUGUCUCAGAACACCGAUUGCGAAGGCAGCUUACUAUGGUUUAAUUGACGCUGAGGCACGAAAGCGUGGGGAUCAAACAGG